UACGGAGGAUGCAAGCGUUAUCCGGAGUUACUGGGCGUAAAGCGUGCGCAGGCGGUUAUGUAAGACAGGUGUGAAAUCCCCGGGCUUAACCUGGGAACUGCAUUUGUGACUGCAUAGCUAGAGUACGGUAGAGGGGGAUGGAAUUCCGCGUGUAGCAGUGAAAUGCGUAGAUAUGCGGAGGAACACCGAUGGCGAAGGCAAUCCCCUGGACCUGUACUGACGCUCAUGCACGAAAGCGUGGGGAGCAAACAGG
rnacentral:rRNA from 1 species